UUGUUUGCAGGUGUAGCAUCAUCAAGAUUCACAUGCGAAAGCCCGGCGCGGCAGCGAUGCCAUCUUCGCUGCCUCAAGUUUUGGGGUUGAGAAUCUUGAUGAUGCUGCAUCGGCAAUAGA
rfam:Vitis vinifera, whole genome shotgun sequence of line PN40024, unoriented chromosome 13, chr13